UACGGAGGGAGCUAGCGUUGUUCGGAAUUACUGGCGUAAAGCGCACGUAGGCGGCUACUCAAGUCAGAGGUGAAAGCCCAGGGCUCAACCCUGGAACUGCCUUUGAAACUAGGUAGCUAGAAUCUUGGAGAGGUCAGUGGAAUUCCGAGUGUAGAGGUGAAAUUCGUAGAUAUUCGGAAGAACACCAGUGGCGAAGGCGACUGACUGGACAAGUAUUGACGCUGAGGUGCGAAAGCGUGGGGAGCAAACAGG
rnacentral:rRNA from 1 species